CCUACGGGAGGCAGCAGUGGGGAAUAUUGGGCAAUGGGCGCAAGCCUGACCCAGCAACGCCGCGUGAAGGAAGAAGGCUUUCGGGUUGUAAACUUCUUUUCUGAGGGACGAAGAAAGUGUCGGUACCUCAGGAAUAAGCCACGGCUAACUACCUGCCAGCAGCCGCGGUAAUACGUAGGUGGCAAGCGAUAUCCGGAUAUAUUGGGUGUAAAGGGCGUGUAGGCGGGAAAGCAAGUCAGUUGUGAAAACUCAGGGCUCAACCCUGAGCCUGCAUUUGAAACUGUUUUGCUUGAGUGCGGGAGAGGCAAUCGGAAGUCCGUGUGUAGCGGUAAAAUGCGUAGAUAUACGGAGGAACACCAGUGGCGAAGGCGGAUUGCUGGACAGUAACUGACGCUGAGGCGCGAAAGCGUGGGGAGCAAACAGGAUUAGAUACCCGGGUAGUC
rnacentral:rRNA from 1 species